rnacentral:rRNA from 1 species
UACGGGAGGCAGCAGUGGGGAAUAUUGGGCAAUGGGGGAAACCCUGACCCAGCAACGCCGCGUGAGGGAAGAAGGUUUUCGGAUUGUAAACCUCUGUUCUUGGAGAAGAGAAGGAGACGGUAUCCAAGGAGGAAGCCCCGGCUAACUACGUGCCAGCAGCCGCGGUAAUACGUAGGGGGCGAGCGUUGUCCGGAAUGAUUGGGCGUAAAGGGCGCGUAGGCGGCCGAGCAAGUCAGUAGUGGAAGUCCAAUUUUCAAGGUUGGAAGUGCUAUUGAAACUGCAGGGCUUGAGUGCAGGAGAGGUUAUCGGAAUUCCCGGUGUAGCGGUGAAAUGCGUAGAGAUCGGGAGGAACACCAGUGGCGAAGGCGGGUAACUGGACUGCAACUGACGCUGAGGCGCGAAAGUGUGGGGAGCAAACAGGAUUAGAUACCCUGGUAGUC